UCAGAAUUAAUUCUCAUGUCAGCAGAAAGCUCAACCAUCACAGUUCGUCUUGUUCGCUCUUUUGAACACCGGAACUUCAGGCCUGUGGUGUAUCACGGGGUUAACUUGGAUCAGACAGUAAAGCAGUUCAUUACCUUUGUGCAGAAGGAUGUGCCUUCAAGAACAGGACUUCCUCCUCCUUUCAAAAAUUACAAAUAUGAUACAAUGAAGAUUAUUCACCAAGCACACAAAUCUAAGACUGGUGAACUUGUAGUGAGUUUGGAAGAUGAUGACAAACUGAUUUUGAAAGAAGACAGUACGCUGAAAGCAGCUGGAGUAGGCAUAAGAGACAAUGCAGUUCAGGAGAGAGACUGAUGAUAGUGCCAAAUGCUGAAUUAGAAACGACAUUGUCCAGAGCUGCCUUCUUUCAAAAAGCAAAUGAGACUGAAUUAGCAUUCUUCUGUGAAGAAGAUUACAGAAACUACAAAGCUAAUCCUGUUUCGGCCUGGUGAAGAUCCCAAGGGAUUGUUUUGUUUUCCCAUACCUGUUGUAAAUUUUCCUUAUUCUGCUUAAUGAGAUUUUUCUUAAAGAUCAAUAAAUCCUAGAGGAUUGCUUUGC